ensembl:lncRNA
AUGCCGCUUCUUCACAACUUGGUGGUGGAAAGAAUUCAGGAUCUGCGUGACAACAAACAACAGGAGCAUUUGAGGGCUUCUCUAGAAACCCUGAAGAAAUGUGUUUCCAUGCUGCACACUGCCAUGUACACGACCAUCAAACAUCCACACAGCGAGGAGGCACAGAGUGCAAAGCAAUACAUCUUAAACCAGGUGGACUCAACUAUAAAUGACAUCAUAACCACACUCAAGAGCAACUGUGAACCAGCUGCCAGGGGUUCAUGUGGAUAUUACACCGUAAUACGAAACAAAUUACUAAGACUGCUUUCUGAUCCUGCUUCUGUUAAAGAUGGUGGUUUUGACGUUAUGUUUCGUGACCUAGUGUUCCACAGCAUGGCGGUAGCAAAAACUUCUCAUAGGGAUAUUCAGUUUGAAGUUGCUGCACACUCCAAGCAAGUCCUUCAGCUCUGGUCAGAGAUGUCACAACAAAUGAAAUGCUGUGUUGAUCAACAGCUUGAAAACACAUGUGCUGCUCUAUUGCAGCAAAUCCACAAACUUGACGAUGCUGUGGUCAAGGCCACCCAGUUGCGAGUAAUGGACAUAUUUGUCACUACUUCAACUCCCUUGGAACAGUUGGCGUACACCGUGAGCUGCAUCUUCCAGGAUGAGCAAGAUGAAGAUAAGUUGCAUCUGGAAACACUUCGGGCUCAAUCUGAAAACUUCAUGGCUCAUGCUGACAAGAUAUCAGAAGUGGCUGGCUUCAUCUCAGCUUUAGCGUGUGAUGAAAAGAGUCUUGAGGGUGUAGAGAACUCAAGGGGAUGCAUCAUGAGGCUGAAACAAGCAAUUUGUGUACUUAUGCAAAAUCUAGAGGAAAACGAGGUGCAUUCAAGUGAAGCUCUGGAAAAACUAAAAGAGAUGCAACAGAGAUGGUCAGAGGAGAUGGAGCAGCUCUUGCAUGCAUGUAGUAGCAUCAUAAACGUGAAGGACUUUGUCUGUCUUGCUCUUAAGGAGAUGCAGAGCAACUGGAUUGAGUUUGUUGAGGCACAUAAAGAUGAAGAUGCACACUUUCUCACAAAACAGGCAAGCUUGCUUAUUGGCCACAUGAGCUUGGUAAUCCAGCUCGUGAGAAGACAUGUCAGUAAGAGUGACAAUCCAAUCUACCGUAAUGGACUUCUGGUUCUGAUAAAGCAAGCAGAAGGAUCUGCUGCUGAGGUGACAAGUUAUGUCACUGAUAUAUAUUCUUAUACCAGUCUUAGCGAUGAGGCUUUCUCAUUGCUCUCUAAAAGUGUUUCAACAGCCCUAAAACACUUUGAUAUUCUACGUGAAGGACUUGACGGUUUGCAGCAUCCACAUCUGCUCAGCCCCCUGCGGGAGGGAGCUCGCCAGUCUGCCGGUACUGUACCAUGUGCAAUGCCCAUUUCAGAACAUGAAAGAUCAACUGAAGAUCGUUCUGAUAAAACAGAAUCUGAGUCUUCAGUGCAAAGUUCAACUAGUGAAGAAAUUCCAUGUCAGGUCAAAGACGGUUUAGAGAAUCCGGCUGUUCAAACAGUAAUGGAGCAUCAUGUGCCAAACCCUGAAGAAGCAUGGAUUGCGCCUGUCGUGGAUUCUAAAGCUGUCAUACAUCUCCAGAAUAUUGAGUUGUUGCCUCUCUUGUGUGAAGUUGUCUGCAUGACCAAAGGUAAAGAUGUAGAGGCUCUUAACAUGGCUUGCACUGGAGUUCUAGGACUCUCAAACAGCUAUGCCCAAGCUACAAGAGAAGCCACCAGUGUCAUAGACACAGCUGAUAGUAAGGAAGUGGAAAGUCUGCGGUCCAAACUCGUGUCCUUGACACCCUUGCUUGUCCAGACAGCACAGGAAACAGCCAUGAGUUCAGCCAUGAGUGCAGAUAGCAUUUAUAAACACAGUACGGAAUUCUCUGACCUCAUCAAAAAUGCCCGUAAGAUAUUGCUGCCAGUGACAGGGAUGUGGUACCAUGCCGUUUACUCCAUGUUCCAAAACUAUGUACCCAAUAUGUUGGAGACCAUCACACAGGAACUCACGGAGGUCAUGUGUUUAUGUGCAGAUGCUGUGCAACUUGUGACGUCUGCGGAUAUAAAGGUGAUGGGAGAGUGUCAUGAGAGUAUAAUGUCUUUGCAGAGCAAGCUCCAAAAAGCUCAAACCAACACCAAGAAUCUCACAGACAUAGCGGGUUCAAGACCAACUCAAACUGAUGAACUUGAUGGUCUCUGCAUGCUUUGGGCCUUGUCUGUCCAAGUAGUGUUGAACUCAUUGGAUAAGAUUGUAGGAACAGCUACAACUGAUGGUAAGGGGCACAUAAUCACACAUCAAAUGACACCCAAAAAAUGGUUGUCAGUAAUAUCUGAGAACUCACUUCGUAUACAAGAAGCUGCAAGACUUUCUUCUUUGAACUGUCGAGAUAGCUAUAAAGUUAAACUACUAGGAGAACUACAAGACGACGUGAAGACACUUACAGACUCCUACCUACAGGCUGCUGAAGAAGUUGGUACAGUGUCCCUCUCAAGUGUCCUGAUGCUGGCAAAGUCAGAGCUGCUUCAGAGACAGCUUCAGAUUAAAAUGAAAGCACUCUCUUGUCUCCUGAGCAAAGUUAACCAAGAUUAUGUGACGGCCAUUCAAAACACUAUUGCUUUGGCAUGUUCUGUCCAAACAAAAGAUAAUGACAUGGAAACUGAAGAUACACUGGUACAGUUUGAAAGUGCUGCCGAACUGCUUAUGCAGAAUGUUAAAAGCGCCUCAGAGUCCAUUCAGGACUGUUUCAAUUUCAUUAGAGACCCAAAGGAAAGGUCCAAUCUGAGAUUCAUUAAUGACCACUUGACAUUUCAAAUGUCAGACAUUGUGAGUAGAGCCAGACUAAUAGCAGAGACACAAACUCUUGGAGACACUCUCACCCUUGAGAUCCAGUCACAGUGCUGGUCAGCAAAGGCACAUUACCUUGUUGAAGAAAUCUGUAAAAUAGAUGGAAUUCUUGCAGUCACAAAGGAACAGAUCAAGUGUAGCUUGCAGGGCAAAGAGUCUAGUAGAUCCGUCAUGUCCCAGACACCAAGUUUCACAAAAAAGGCAACACUACAUCCUCGAUCCACAAAUAAUCAAGGUCCUAGUAAAAGCAAACGAAGUGUCCAAGACGUGUCCAAUCAGGAACCAAAUAAGGUAAAAAAAAAAAAUUGUUGA